CAAUAGCGUAUAUUAAAGUUGUUGCGGUUAAAAAGCUCGUAGUUGGAUUUCUGUUGAGGAAGGACGGUCCGCACUAAGUGCGUGUAUCUGUUACUGCCUCGGCAUCCUCUAGGAGAACGGUGCUGUGAUUCACUUCAUGGUCCGGAAUUCUAGACUUUUACUUUGAGGAAAUUAGAGUGUUCACGGCAAGCAAUCGCUUUGAAUACAUUAGCAUGGAAUAAUAAUAUAGGACCUUGGAUCUAUUUUGUUGGUUUCUAGAACUAAGGUAAUGAUUAAUAGGGAUAAUUGGGGGCAUUCGUAUUAACGCGUCAGAGGUGGAAUUCUUGGAUUGCGUUACGACGAACUACUGCGAAAGCAUUUGCCAAGGAUGUUUUCAUUGA
rnacentral:rRNA from 1 species